rnacentral:rRNA from 1 species
UACACUCCUGCGGGAGGCAGCAGUGGGGAAUUUUGGACAAUGGGCGAAAGCCUGAUCCAGCAAUGCCGCGUGAGUGAAGAAGGCCUUCGGGUUGUAAAGCUCUUUUGUCAGGGAAGAAACGGUGAAAGCUAAUAUCUUUUGCUAAUGACGGUACCUGAAGAAUAAGCACCGGCUAACUACGUGCCAGCAGCCGCGGUAAUACGUAGGGUGCAAGCGUUAAUCGGAAUUACUGGGCGUAAAGCGUGCGCAGGCGGUUUUGUAAGUCUGAUGUGAAAUCCCCGGGCUCAACCUGGGAAUUGCAUUGGAGACUGCAAGGCUAGAAUCUGGCAGAGGGGGGUAGAAUUCCACGUGUAGCAGUGAAAUGCGUAGAUAUGUGGAGGAACACCGAUGGCGAAGGCAGCCCCCUGGGUCAAGAUUGACGCUCAUGCACGAAAGCGUGGGGAGCAAACAGGAUUAGAUACCCUUGUAGUCCCA